CCUACGGGAGGCAGCAGUGAGGAAUAUUGGUCAAUGGGCGCGAGUCUGAACCAGCCAAGUCGCGUGAAGGAAGACGGUCCUAUGGAUUGUAAACUUCUUUUGUCAAGGAGUAAAACGCGGCACGUGUGCCUUUUUGCAAGUACUUGAUGAAUAAGGAUCGGCUAACUCCGUGCCAGCAGCCGCGGUAAUACGGAGGAUGCGAGCGUUAUCCGGAUUUAUUGGGUUUAAAGGGAGCGUAGAUGGGUGGUUAAGUCAGGCGUGAAAUUUAGGGGCUCAACCUUAAGCGUGCAAUUGAUACUGGUAGUCUUGAGUACAGUUGAGGUAGGCGGAAUGCGUGGUGUAGCGGUGAAAUGCAUAGAUAUCACGCAGAACCCCGAUUGCGAAGGCAGCAUACCAACCUGCGACUGACACUGAUGCACGAAAGUGUGGGUAUCAAACAGGAUUAGAUACCCGAGUAGUC
rnacentral:rRNA from 1 species